rnacentral:lncRNA from 1 species
UAUCUCACAUCAAUAUUCAUCAAUCAUAUGAACAAUUAUCAAUUCACAAAUAUUCAUUCACAAUAACCAAUCACAUUUAUCAUGAAUAAUCAUUAAUCACAUUUCAUGAACAAUCACCAAUUACAUGUAUCAUGAAUAAUAUCAAUUCACAAAUAUUCAUUCACAAUCACCAAUCACAAAUAUCAAAUAAGACUCAUGUCAUGAUAUGCACUUAUUGACACAUAAAUGCAUGUGGUACCAAAUCUCCAAAAGAUCGUCACCUCCGAUGGAACAACUCAACAUCGUAUGUAAGGGUUCACCCCCGCCUUACAUAAUCUCCGAA